UGAACUUAAUUGCCACCAUCAUUUCUAACGAAGGCCUUUUGAUUCCCUUUCUCCUCCCAUAUCGACCUCAUCACUCUCUCUCUCUCUCUCUGUAACUUUCUUCGUUUUCCUAAUGACUCUUACAUUUUGUGUAUUCUUUAGGUCACACAUUCAAUAUUUGUAUCAAUGCAAGAAAGGCUUGAGUGUUUCUACUUUGGUGAACAGUCGGAAUCAGAAACCCUAGCCGGAGCCAUUUGUCGCCUGCACUAAAGUUGCUUCGUUUUCAGGGAAUUUGGUUACCUAAUCAGUAUUGUUGGCAGUGUUGUUGGGUGAAUCUGUAUGGUUGAAUAUACCCAGAUCAGGAAAUAAGGUUUUAUUUGUUUUGGGUUUUGUCGAACAUAUCAAGACUCCGAGGAAAGGUGAUGUCAUUAAGAAGCAGAUCAAGGAUGUUUUUGACAGAGAGCUUUAAGGAAACUGAAGCAUUGGGACGGUUUGGAGCAUAUACUUCAUAACCAAGUACUAAUGGUAGCAGCAUUUUCUUCUCGAGGCCUGAAUAUAAAAGAUCAUAAAUUUUCCGAUGCAGAUUAUUUGAAACUGGAAGCACCAGAUUCUUUGAACUGGGCUUUUUGGUCAUGGAACAGAUGAGCCUAAUUAUGAAGGUAAACAUGUAAUUAUAUAUGUAAUUUGUUUCAACAAUCAUCGACUCUUAUACAUCCUCCUACUUAUCAAACACCAUCCAACCCAGCUGCGGCCAUCACAGAGUCCUUUUUCGGACAAUUUUGGACUUAUUGUUUUGGGCUUGUUUAACUUGGUUAAAUUAAUGUAUAUUAUUAUUAUUAUUA